rnacentral:rRNA from 1 species
AGGACUACCCGCUGAACUUAAGCAUAUCAAUAAGCGGAGGAAAAGAAACUAACAAGGAUUCCUUUAGUAACGGCGAGUGAACCGGGAAAAGCUCAAAUUUGUAAUCUGGCUGUCUUCGAUAGUCCGAGUUGUAAUCUAUAGACGUGUUUUCCGUGCUGGAUCGUAUCUAAGUCCCUUGGAACAGGGUAUCAAAGAGGGUGACAAUCCCGUGCUUGAUACGACGACCAGUGCUCUGUGAUACACGUUCUACGAGUCGAGUUGUUUGGGAAUGCAGCUCAAAAUGGGUGGUAAAUUCCAUCUAAAGCUAAAUAUUGGCGAGAGACCGAUAGCGAACAAGUACCGUGAGGGAAAGAUGAAAAGCACUUUGGAAAGAGAGUUAAACAGUACGUGAAAUUGUUGAAAGGGAAACGAUUGAAGUCAGUCGUGUUCUUCAGAUUCAGCUGGUUCUUCCAGUCUACUUCUGUUGAACGGGUCAACAUCAGUUUUGUCCGGUGGAUAAAGGUAGUAGGAAUGUGACUCCCCCGGGAGUGUUAUAGCCUAUUAUUGCAUACACUGGGUGAGACUGAGGACUGCAGCUCGCCUUUUGGCCG